GGCUGCCGGCGGGGGCUCCUCCGCAGCAGGGGCUCGGGGUGCUGGGGGGGCUCGGGCGUGGGUGGGGCUGCCGGCGGGGCUCCCCUGGCACCAUGCCACACCCCUGCCUGUGCCCACAGGGGAGGAUCUGCAGGGCGGGUGGGCGGGCGUCCCAUGUGGUGGGGACAGCUCCGCGGUGUGCACCCUGGGGAGCUAUAAUUCCGAGGCCCAUUUCUCGCUGCCCAUCGGGCGGAGCUGCCUGCAGGCAACUUCGUCGGGCCCCACGUGAAGUUCAGGAUUGUCACGCAGCCUCUGGAUCCGGUGUUUGCCCCAGAACCUGGGUUUGCGGUUUCUUUUGGCAGAUCUUAAAGGCACCUGGAGGAGCCCCAGCAGACCCUGGAGGCCAUGCUGCGGCCCCGCGUGACCACCCUUCCGGGGCACAUCCAGGCCGUGUACGUGCAGAACGUGGCCAAGCUCUAUGCAGCCGUGCUGCAGCAGCGGGAGCAGGCGGCCGAGCGGGAGGCGGCCCGGGACGUCACGCAGCUGCUGGCGGAGCGGCUGCCCCAGUUCGUACAGAGUGCGGACCUGGAGGUCCAGGAGCGGGUGAGCGCCGUGCGCCUCGGGCCUCCGCGCUGCGGUUCUGUGCUCUCGGUCACCGCCCCGUGCCACCCGGGCCUGUCAGCAGCCCUGCUGGGGUCUCCCUUCACCCUUGGCAGCGGGAGCACGGGUCAGCGUGGCAGGGCCCGUAUGCCCCACCCGAGCCAGCAGCCCUGCGCGGCCACCCCCUCUCUGCCGGAACCCUGGGUGGCCUUGGGGAGUGAGUCUGCGGGGUUCUUGGGGCUCAGCCUUCUGGGCCUGAGGUGCCCGUGCCUCCAUGGCUGCACGCGGGGCUCGGCAGGUGCACCGGGGUUGCUGUAAGUCACUUGGGGCUUGGCAGGUGCUCCCAGGCUUGGCAGGUGCACCGGGGUCGCUGUAAGUCACUUGGGGCUCGGCAGGUGCUCCCGGGCUCGGCAGGCGUGCCGGGGUCGCUGUAAGUCACUUGGGGCUCGGCAGGUGCUCCCGGGCUCGGCAGGCGUGCCGGGGUCUCAGCAGGUGCGGCCGGGCUGGCACAGCCUGGGUGGGGGUACCUGGCCUGGCUGUGUGUGACCCUGGCCGAGCCCUGAGGGUCUUCCCUGGGCAAGGCCCUGGUGGUCUCAGCACCGCCGCGUGCUGGGCUCUUGCUCAUCCCUGACCUGCGCGCACGCUGAACAAACAGUGCAGAGCGCAGCCGCUCUCCGCAGGCCCGUGUUCCAUCACAUGUGCUCUUCUCUCUCUCUCACAGGCUUUUCCUCUUAGUAUUUGUCGGCUGUGGCCGCACAACAGCGCAGCCUUAGACGUUUCUUGCCCAGCGCUCUGCGUGUCAUGUUUCUUUCCUGCCCUUUCACCUCCAGCCUCUCUGCGUCUUUGUAGCUGAAGCGAGGCUCCUGUGGACAGGCCUCAUCCAGUCUGCUGGUCUCUGCCUUUUAGUGGGGAGUUUUGUCCUUUGACGUUUAAGGUAGUAGCUGAGAAGGAACGAUGUGCUUCUGCUGUUGAGCUUUUGUUUCUGUCUUGUAUGUUUUUUGUUCCUCCUUUACUGUUACUACCAUUUUAUUUGUAUUUACUUGCUUUUGUAAUACACCCUUUUGGUCCCUCUUUUCUGUUUCUGUUUUUCAUAAUUUCCUUCAUGGUUAGCUGCAGUUGUAACUGGGGUUCUUAAGCCACUGCCCCUAGGCUUACUCGUCUGCCAACUCCUGUCUUUUUGUCCCUUUCUGUUUUAAUUGGUUGUCGUUUCAGGUUGUGUCUGUAAAUGUUGCCUGCCAUUUAAUGUUGAUCUGUAAGGUCCUUUUACGCGUUGCCUGUCCAGUUACGGGGGCGGUCACCCACCAGAAGUGCCGUAAUUGAGGGUUGUGCCACAAGUUACUGUCAAGGCCGACUUGGGGGCUCGCUUGAGCAUUUCCUGGAGGGAAGGGGCCCCAGUAAUGAGCUCUUUCAGCUUUUGUUCACUUGUAGGUGUUUCAAUUUUUUUCAGUUUUGAGAAAUUAUCUUUCCCCUUAGGAUUCUUGGCGGACAGUGUUUUCUUUGAGGACUUGAUCAUGC
ensembl:lincRNA